rnacentral:rRNA from 1 species
GAUGAACGCUGGCGGCAUGCCUAAUACAUGCAAGUCGAGCGAACAGACGAGGAGCUUGCUCCUUCGACGUUAGCGGCGGACGGGUGAGUAACACGUAGGUAACCUACCGAUAGGGCUGAGAUAACGUAAGGGAACCGGAUCUAACACCGGAUAAGAGUGAGAAACGCAUGGUUCUAUAGUGAAAGAGGUAUUUGAUGUCACUUAUAGAUGUAACUGCGUCGGAUUAGCUAGUUGGUAAGGUAACGGCUUACCAAGGCAACGAUACGUAGCCGACCUGAGAGGGUGAUCAGCCACACUGGAACUGAGACACGGUCCAGACUCCUACGGGAGGCAGCAGUAGGGAAUCUUCCGCAAUGGGCGAAAGCCUGACGGAGCAACGCCGCGUGAGUGAUGAAGGUCUUCGGAUCGUAAAGCUCUGUUAUUAGGGAAGAACAAACGUGUAAGUAACUGUGCACGUCUUGACGGUACCUAAUCAGAAAGCCACGGCUAACUACGUG